GCAAAGUGAUUGAAAAGAUGGAACGGUGUCAGUUCACAGAAUCAAAAGUUUAACCUAACUUUUUGCUUGGGCAGUGUAACAUAAUUACUGUUGACUAUCAAUUAGUGCUGUUUUGAUUCUGCAAUGGUCAAGAAUAUAUUCAACAUUUUGAGUGGGAUGCCCUUUGAAGGCAUUGCAAGAAAAUUAGUGAAGCGAAAGUUGCUGGAUUACUCAGUGGACCCAACUUAAUGCACUACAUCGGAUUCCAAAGGAUCAUGAGGAUUUGAAGUUACUAGCCGAUGGACUGCGAGCUUGCUGUGAGAUGAAUCAGGACUAGACGGAUAAGUGGUGAGUACCUGAUAGCCAAGCCAAGCCAUUCCCUUUAGUAAUUUACAUUCUGUAAAAUCAAUUUAUGGGUAAUAAGCAGCAGUAGGUUAUUUAACAUUAUUUAAACCCAGGAGUUUUGCUAGAGUGAUCAUUAGUUAGCAAAGCUGCAAAAAAGGAAAGCUAAAAAAGUUGCCGCAGUACUUCUUUUUCUCUAAGAAGGUAGUUUUAUUUUUUUGUUGUGUGUAUGUGACUGUUUCAAAAGAUAAAAUAAUUAUGAAAUAGUCAGUUUAUACUGAGUAUACUUUAAGCACCGAAAAACAUAUAAUAUUAUUAGGAUAUCAGGACAUACAGUGCAGUCCUGUGGCAAAGUGUUUCCUCCUGUCACAGUUUCAUACGUUGAAACCAAUGUCAAAGAUCGUAACUUCUUUGUUUAAGGAUCUGAAUUACGUUUUCCAAAGCUUUGGGGAUGUAAUGAUACAUUGUAUUUCGUUUUAUCUAAAACCAUAUUGGGAUUGUUAUUAUUGAGC